rnacentral:SRP_RNA from 1 species
GGCCGGGCCCAGCGCACGGCCGGCCCGUGAACCUGGUCAGAGCUUGACCGCAGCAGCCAUAAGCGGCGUCGUCCGGGGUGUUGGUCACCUGGUCGCC